UGGGGAAUAUUGGACAAUGGGCGCAAGCCUGAUCCAGCAAUGCCGCGUGUGUGAAGAAGGCCUGCGGGUUGUAAAGCACUUUCAGUGGGGAGGAAGGCAAGGUAUUGAAUAGAUACGUUGUUUGACGCUACCCACAAAAGCAGCACCGGCUAACUCUGUGCCAGCAGCCGCGGUAAUACAGAGGGUGCAAGCGUUAAUCGGAUUGACUGGGCGUAAAGCGCGUGUAGGCGGCUUAAUAAGUGAAUUGUGAAAGUCCUGGGCUUAACCUAGGGAUUGCGGUUCAUACUGUUAGGCUAGAGUCUAGGAGAGGAAAGUAGAAUUUCCGGUGUAGCGGUGAAAUGCGUAGAUAUCGGAAAGAAUACCAGUGGCGAAGGCGACUUUCUGGCUUAAGACUGACGCU
rnacentral:rRNA from 1 species